GUCGAUGAGAGGCGUGUCUGCCUUGAGUGCAUUGCAUGAUCUACACGCGUUUCAUUGCGGAGGAAGCCCCCACGUAUAUAUUUCGCCCUUCCGAUUACCGCGGUAGGGAGGUCAGAGCGGUUCUCUUUUCUCAUUUCAAGAAAUAUCGCUUAAGUCAAUGGAGGCAUGACUACGUGGGCAACCACAUCUCGUUCCCUUCAGACGAACAGUACUUGCUUGGACACCUGCCUUUCGAUUCCCGAUAUAUAGCACCAAAUGAAAAUUACUGCAAAGAACUCGUUGAUAUACUGUUAGAAGUUCUUUUACUCAGCUUGUGAUUGCCUUUUGUAAGACAGUCAAUAGCCUUGGUAUAAAGCGGAGAGUGGAGAAACCGCAAAGUUUCUGGACUCGUCGAAUUAGUUUCAUGUUCAGCCAACGCAUUUCCUGACUCGCUCCGAGUUGCUUACCCCGAAAGGUUUUAGAAAUGAAGCGUUAAUGUCGUCUUCUAGGUUUUUGUUAAGCGGCAGGAUAGGAAUUUCUGACAACGUUUUUGUGCCAGAGACGUCUUGUGUAAUGGGAGUUCCCUGUGGCUCCUCGGAAACAAGGUCCUUUUCUGUUUCGCGAGUGCCAAAACUGGCCUUUUGGAAGAGUUCUUCUACGAAGCUUUUAGCUACUACAGUCAGUAGAUCCACUGCUUCCGUAGACGAGUUUUCUUCGGCCUUACUCGAGGGCAUUUCUUGAUGGUUUUGAAGCGUGUCUUUUUCGCAACUUGACUCCUCUGACUGCGGAGGGUAAUCAGAGUUUUCCUGUCUCGUUCCUUUUCCUGGAGUUCCAUUCUCUACAUCCUGUGAAGAUUGUUUUGCCACGUCGGUAAAACACUCGUCUCCCUCCCCGGUGGACGGGUCACCAAACCCACGGUUUGAUUCCGAUGCAGGUUCGGUCUUUUCUUCGGAUGUUUUCCUGUUAGAACGUUUUGCGUCCCCUGCUUCUGCAGGUUUGUCGGGGGUUUUCGAUGGCUGUACGCAAACGUGCAGGGUCUCUGGAGGAUCAGCCGACCCCGCUCGCUGUGGUUGUUUCCGAUGAAGAAAAGGCAUGCAACAAACUAGGCAACUGAGACGUUUUUUACCUCCAUACGCGGGCUCGAGAUGAUGUGCGCGCUCUAUGGAUUGACGCUGCGCUUUGUCGGCGACUUCAACACCAGUAUGUCGGACGCCUUGUAUUUCUUCAUAGUUUCUGUGUUCAUCAGUUUUUUUUCCAUUUUUAGGUCUCCCGUCAUCUGGGUGGUAGCCGAUAUCCGAAUGCGGGGAAGACAUUUUGCCACCAGGCAGCUGGGCGAAACGGGAGAGAGUUCGCCAACGGGAACAGACUGACUAAAUGAGAAGCUCCAAAGAAACCAAAGCAAGACGUUCCCCUGAGUCUUCGCUUUCUCGAAGAGCUUCAAACAAACAAGGCGUGCAGAGGAACUGGCCAAGGACCGGCUUCUCGAAUCGGUUUGUUCCAAGGCUAUACAGAAGUGUAUCGGGUUUCAACGACUGUUUUCCUUAGCCGCUUUGCUGAACGACCGGUGCCAGCUAACGGCAGUUCUUCAACGUUCAGCAUGAGCGAAUGCUUAAUGUGUUUUGUUAGGCCGUUUGCUUUGACACAGCCCAGUUUUAACUUCUGUCUGUUUCUUCGUAGGAAACGCAAGUGCUAAGGGAAUACCUUGGCCGAACGUCAGCGACUGUUGACACGGCCGACGCGGAGCGGUAACAUUAGCUGAGUACUUUAGCUCAUUGUCGAGAGAAAUACGGUGUUUUCUUUUCUGUUCUUCUAAACAGAAUUGCGGCUGCUUCUGCAUGUGCGCCGUCUCGGCCCACAGUUCGUAGUCUACUCGAGUCCUAUGGGUCCACGGAUGCAUAUGGUUGCAGUUCCACAAGAAAAGGCACUCUCUUAUAGAUAUAUCUGAAUAGUUUCUGAACACUGAUCUACGGAAAGUCGAGUAGAGCGUUCAGCGUCGAAUGACCCCGUAAACCGUAAGGACACACUAACUGGUGGUCGGUUUAUCGUUGUAGGUGAUCCGCAAGCAUCAAAAAAUAAUGAUUGUCAAAAAAUCUAGUUUUUCUGAGACGCGUUUCAUUCAAACACCAAAUUCGACAUGAGCUUUGUUUUUUUUAAUCGGGAUUAAACAGAAAUAUAGGUAGUCUAGUAUCCCUUUGGUAACCAGGUGUCUUUGUGAAUGCACAUAACUACCACGAAGCAUUUUGAAUGUGGAUCAUAGGUGUCUCUCCCAGUCUUCUUCUGGGGAAAACCCACGUUUGGUCUUCGACAUUAGCUGGCGAUCUGGUUUUCUUGAUUGAUCCAGAUCGCAGGUAACCUUCCAGUGUGUCAGCGGAUGUACCUUCUUACUUCCGUCUGUCAGAGAACUGAUCCUUAUGUCUGAAUUCCACUGAUUUUUACGGGAGAGAAGCUCGCAUUCGUUCUGAAAGAUCGACGUGGAGGAGCCAUGGCAAGGAGACUCGAGUUCGAAGAGGUUUCGGUCAUGGAUAAUGAGGUCGAAGAGCGACGUCGCUCACUCCUCGAUGUUCUGCAGAAUUCGUUAAGAGGGGCAGUGAGUUUUCAACUUUACGGCACAUACGUUUCCUCCUUGACACUGAAUCGCCUUCCAUCUGUCCGUUUUUCAGGGCGAAAAAAGGAUAGAUGCGAGAGGCAAAGGACGUAUUUCCUCCCCGGAGAGUGGCGUUUGUUGUUUUGACUCCGUUCUUCGGAAGAGAACUCGACCACAUCCACUUACGGAUGGACGUAGUUAUGGAUUGUUUUGCCGUGCCUGCAACGUCUUCCAAAAUCUGACUUUAUGCCCGAUAGCGAGAUUAACCGGAGAACUCAAGCCAUC
rnacentral:lncRNA from 1 species